UACUAGAGUAGCACUCGCAUAUCAAUAAGCGGAGGAAAAGAAACUAACAAGGAUUCCCCUAGUAACGGCGAGUGAAGCGGGAAGAGCUCAAAUUUGAAAUCUUAAAGGGUUUCCCUUUACGAAUUGUAGUUUAAAGAAGUGUUUUCUGUUGAGGUUUUGGUAAAAGUUCUUUGGAAUAGGACAUCAUAGAGGGUGAGAAUCCCGUAUUUGACCUUUACUUUCAACUUUGUGAUACACUUUCAAAGAGUCGGAUUGUUUGGGAAUGCAGUCCAAAAUGGGUGGUAAAUUUCAUCUAAAGCUAAAUAUUGGCGAGAGACCGAUAGCGAACAAGUACCGUGAGGGAAAGAUGAAAAGAACUUUGAAAAGAGAGUUAAACAGUACGUGAAAUUGUCAAAAGGGAAGCGUUUGACACCAGUGUUGUUUUUCUGAAAAUCAAUUAAAGAACUGUUUAUGCUAAGUUGUUUAGACUUUAUCAGCUAACUGUUUAGUUUUGAGCUUUCCUUUAAUGCACUUUUCAGUUAACAAGUCAACAUCAAUUUCUUUUGCUGUAAAAAAGCUUGAGGAAGGUGGCUUGAGAUUCGUCUUAAGUGUUUAUAGCCUCUUGCCUAUGCAGUCGGAGAGAUUGAGGUCUGCAGCGUAGAUCCUUCGGGGCUAAAUGCAUUUGUGCUAAGUUAUAGCAUUUUAUAGACAACUUGUUGACUAUGAUUCGUCUUGUAGCUUACUCGCUUAUGUUAUUUUACCUACGCUUAGGAUGUUGAUCUCUCACAGUCGAGC
rnacentral:rRNA from 1 species